GCUGGUGUAGCUCAAUUGGUAGAGCAGCUGACUUGUAAUCAGCAGGUUAUGGGUUCGAGUCCCAUCGCCAGCUCCA
rnacentral:tRNA from 1 species